UUGGUAGCCAGAUGGAGACGCAACUGUUCCGCGGCGGCAGAUCUUCAGUUGCGGUGCGGAGCUGAGCAGACCUCAAAUCAAAGAAAUCCCCAAAAAGUAGAGACAGCAAGCAAAUCUCUGCCAUCUUUAUCAAGAUUAUAAUACCUGCGAUGGAUUUAUUCCUGCUUCAUUGCAUGCAUUCUUUCAUAUGCCAUUUGUUACCACUUAUUUAUAAAAAUGUCAUAUUUAAUUGAAUUUAUAAAACCUAAAGUGAUUAAAAGCAAAAAACUAGUCACCAUAGACUGAUGACAAUUUUUCCAUUUGAAAUACGUGGUAUCAUGCACUAUCCAGCUGACUAUUCAGUAAGUCAAGAGAUCAUGACAAUAAUUUUCUACUAAGAAACAAAUGGUAUAUAUGUCUGAAGGAAGAUAAAAAUUAAAAGCCUAAAAGUACCGCUUUUUGCAGUGACUCACGCCUGUAAUCCCAGCAUUUUG
rnacentral:lncRNA from 1 species